CAGCAGUUUUAAGCCCGAGCCCCGGCUGAGCUCCGGCAUCCCAGCACCGGCAGCCAGCGGACGAGCUUACCUGAGGCAUCCUCGGCAGAAAGGCAGGGGUUUUCUUGCUUGCUGAAAGGGAAAUAAAAUGACCCUGAGACAGAGUCUUCUCUUCCUUCUCCUGGCAGGAGCCAUCGGUGUGCUUCAGUGCCAGGUACAUAUGGUACGCAUUUUCCAAAGUAGCCGAGAAAAUCAACUAAGAGGCAAAUGCAGAGACCCAUCCACCAAACAGACCUACAAUCAGAAGGAAAGUUGGCUCCGCCAAGUCAAAGGGAGAAAGGAAUACUGUCGGUGUGAGAACAGUCGCAUCUUCUGCCAUGCAGUAUCUG